GUUUCUGUAGAGCAAUGGAUAGCGCGUUGGACUUUUAAUCCAGUAGUCGUGGGUUCGAAUUCCACCCGGAAUG